rnacentral:rRNA from 1 species
AAAAGAAACCAACAGGGAUUCCCUUAGUAGCGGCGAGCGAACCGGGAAGAGCUCAAAUUUGUAAUCUGGCGUCCUUCGGGCGUCCGAGUUGUAAACUACAGAGGCGUCUUCCGCGCCGGACCGUGUGCAAGUCCCCUGGAAUGGGGUAUCAAAGAGGGUGAGAAUCCCGUGCUUCACACGACCACCGGGGCUAUGUGAUGCGUCCUCGACGAGUCGAGUUGUUUGGGAAUGCAGCUCAAAACGGGUGGUAGACUCCAUCUAAAGCUAAAUACGGGCGAGAGACCGAUAGCGAACAAGUACCGUGAGGGAAAGAUGAAAAGCACUUUGGAAAGAGAGUGAAACAGUAUGUGAAAUCGUUGAGAGGGAAACGAUUGAAGCCAAUCGUGUCCCUCGGGAUCAGCCGGUUCUGCCGGUGCACUCCCGUUGGAUGGGUCAACAUCGGUUUGGGACGGUGGAUUAAGGCGCGGGGAACGUGGCACCCUCGGGUGUGUUAUAGCCCCGUGUCAGAAACGCCGGCCCGGACCGAGGAUCGCGACUUUUAGUCUGG